ensembl:lncRNA
GUCCCUCCCAGUCCAUCCCAGUUUGUCCCAGUCCCUCCCAGUCCAUCCCAGUCCCUCCCAGUUUAUCCCAGUUUGUCCCAGUCCCUCCCAGUCCAUCCCAGUCCCUCCCAGUUCCCUCCCAGUCCAUCCCAGUCCCUCCCAGUCCAUCCCAGUCCCUCCCAGUCCAUCCCAGUCCAUUCCAGUCCCCUCCCAGUCCAUCCCAGUCCCUCCCAGUUUGUCCCAGUCCCCCCAGUUCUCACCAGGCUGAUGUUGGAGUCCAGCCCCAUCUGGAGGUGUCUCCAGUCAAACUCCACCCCCCGGGCCCCGACCCACAGCGGGACGCACCUGCCAGGAAUUCCCAAAAUUCCCGGAAUUCAUCCCAAAAUCCAUCCCAAAAAAUUCCCAAAAUUCCCGGAAUUCAUCCCAAAAUCAUCCCAAAAUCAUCCCAAAAAAAUCCCAAAAUCCAUCCCAAAAUCAUCCCCAAAAAAUCCCAAAAUUCCCGGAAUUCAUCCCAAAAUCCAUCCCAAAAUUCCUGGAAUUCAUCCCAAAAUUCAUCCAAAAAAAUCCCCAAAAUUCCCGGAAUUCAUCCCAAAAUCCAUCCCAAAAUCAUCCCAAAAAAAUCCCAAAAUCCAUCCCAAAAUCCCAAAAUCCAUCCCAAAAUCAUCCCAAAAAAAUCCCAAAAUCCAUCCCAAAAUUUAUCCCAAAAUCCCGGAAUUCAUCCCAAAAUUCAUCCCAAAAUUCCUGGAAUUCAUCCCAAAAUCCAUCCCAAAAUCAUCCCAAAAUCAUGCCCAAAAAAUCCCAAAAUUCAUCCCCAAAAAAUCCCCAAAAAAACCCCAAAAUUCCCAGAAUUCAUCCCAAAAUUCAUCCAAAAAAAAUCCCCCAAAAAUCCCGGAAUUCAUCCCAAAAUCCAUCCCAAAAAAUUCCCAAAAUGCCCGGAAUUCAUCCCAAAAUCAUCCCCAAAAAAAUCCCAAAAUUCCCGGAAUUCAUCCCAAAAUUCAUCCCAAAAUCCAUCCCAAAAUCAUCCCCAAAAAAUCCCAAAAUUCCCGGAAUUCAUCCCAAAAUCAUCCCCCAAAAAAUCCCAAAAAAUCCCAAAAUCCAUCCCCAAAAAAUCCCAAAAAAAUCCCCAAAAAAUCCCCCAAAAUCCCCAAAAAUUUCCAAAAAUUUCCAAAAAAUUCCCAAAAUUCCCAGACAUUCCCGGAAUUCCCACCUGGCCACGAACAAUUCCAAAUUGCCCCAUCCCAAACCCCCCGAAAAUCCAAAAAAAAUCCCCAAAAAAUCCCAAAAAAUCCAAAAAAAAUCCAAAAAAAAUCCAAAAAAAUCCCAAAAAAAUCCCCAAAAUUCACGAAAAUUCCCAGAAUUCCCAGACAUUCCCAGAGAUUCCCGGAAUUCCCACCUGGCCACGAACAAUUCCAAAUUGUCCCAUCCCAAACCCCCCGAAAAUUCAAAAAAAUUCAAAAAAAAUCCAAAAAAAAUCCAAAAAAAAUCCAAAAAAAUCCCAAAAACUCCCCCAAAAAAUCCCAAAAAUUCCCAAAAAUUCCCAGAAUUCCCAGAAUUCCCGAAAAUUCCCAGAAUUCCCACCUGGCCACGAACAAUUCCAAAUUGCCCCAUCCCAAACCCCCCGAAAAUCCAAAAAAAAUCCCAAAAAAAUCCCAAAAAAUCAAAAAAAAAUCCAAAAAAAAUCCAAAAAAAUCCCCAAAAAAUCCCAAAAAAAUCCCAAAAACUCCCAGAAUUCCCAGAAUUCCCGAAAAUUCCCGGAAUUCGCACCUGGCCGUCAGCAGCUCGGUGCUGGCCCCGCCCAAAUCUCCCCCAAACCCCCCAAAAAGUCAAAAAAAAUAAAAAAAAAAAAUCAAAAAAAAUUCCCAAAAAAUCCCAAAAAAUUCCCAAAAAUUCCCAGAAUUCCCAGAAUUCCCAAAAAUUCCCAGAAUUCCCGAAAAUUCCCGGAAUUCGUACCUGGCCACGAACAAUUCCACAUUGCCCCAUCCCAAACCCCCCAAAAAUCCAAAAAAAAAUCCCAAAAAAAUCCCAAAAAAUAAAAAAAAAAUCCAAAAAAAAUCCA